rnacentral:rRNA from 1 species
GAUGAACGCUGGCGGCGUGCCUAAUACAUGCAAGUCGAGCGAACGGACGAGAAGCUUGCUUCUCUGAUGUUAGCGGCGGACGGGUGAGUAACACGUGGAUAACCUACCUAUAAGACUGGGAUAACUUCGGGAAACCGGAGCUAAUACCGGAUAAUAUUUUGAACCGCAUGGUUCAAAAGUGAAAGACGGUCUUGCUGUCACUUAUAGAUGGAUCCGCGCUGCAUUAGCUAGUUGGUAAGGUAACGGCUUACCAAGGCAACGAUGCAUAGCCGACCUGAGAGGGUGAUCGGCCACACUGGAACUGAGACACGGUCCAGACUCCUACGGGAGGCAGCAGUAGGGAAUCUUCCGCAAUGGGCGAAAGCCUGACGGAGCAACGCCGCGUGAGUGAUGAAGGUCUUCGGAUCGUAAAACUCUGUUAUUAGGGAAGAACAUAUGUGUAAGUAACUGUGCACAUCUUGACGGUACCUAAUCAGAAAGCCACGGCUAACUACGUGCCAGCAGCCGCGGUAAUACGUAGGUGGCAAGCGUUAUCCGGAAUUAUUGGGCGUAAAGCGCGCGUAGGCGGUUUUUUAAGUCUGAUGUGAAAGCCCACGGCUCAACCGUGGAGGGUCAUUGGAAACUGGAAAACUUGAGUGCAGAAGAGGAAAGUGGAAUUCCAUGUGUAGCGGUGAAAUGCGCAGAGAUAUGGAGGAACACCAGUGGCGAAGGCGACUUUCUGGUCUGUAACUGACGCUGAUGUGCGAAAGCGUGGGGAUCAAACAGGAUUAGAUACCCUGGUAGUCCACGCCGUAAACGAUGAGUGCUAAGUGUUAGGGGGUUUCCGCCCCUUAGUGCUGUAGCUAACGCAUUAAGCACUCCGCCUGGGGAGUACGACCGCAAGGUUGAAACUCAAAGGAAUUGACGGGGACCCGCACAAGCGGUGGAGCAUGUGGUUUAAUUCGAAGCAACGCGAAGAACCUUACCAAAUCUUGACAUCCUUUGACAACUCUAGAGAUAGAGCCUUCCCCUUCGGGGGACAAAGUGACAGGUGGUGCAUGGUUGUCGUCAGCUCGUGUCGUGAGAUGUUGGGUUAAGUCCCGCAACGAGCGCAACCCUUAAGCUUAGUUGCCAUCAUUAAGUUGGGCACUCUAAGUUGACUGCCGGUGACAAACCGGAGGAAGGUGGGGAUGACGUCAAAUCAUCAUGCCCCUUAUGAUUUGGGCUACACACGUGCUACAAUGGACAAUACAAAGGGCAGCGAAACCGCGAGGUCAAGCAAAUCCCAUAAAGUUGUUCUCAGUUCGGAUUGUAGUCUGCAACUCGACUACAUGAAGCUGGAAUCGCUAGUAAUCGUAGAUCAGCAUGCUACGGUGAAUACGUUCCCGGGUCU